UACCUGGAGUAACUCACAAUUUGUCCAGACCUCCCUCUCAACCCUGUUGCCAAGGAAACUGAAUAAAGGAAAACAUGGACAACCUCAAAUGCAGAAACAUGACAUAUUUUCUCAUGAGGACAGCGUGGCCCAGGAGAAAGAGGGAACUUCCAGCAUCUAUGAGGAAACAGAAUUUCUUUUGAUCACAGAAGAAAAGAGAAGAAUAUUAACCAUGGAGUGUCCACCAGUGAGAGAGUUUCUGUGCAUUAGUUCUUGGA
rnacentral:lncRNA from 1 species